GGAGGUGAUGGUGGUGGUGGUGGUGGUGUUAGUGUUAGUGUUAGUGUACAAGGCCCGCUGACUGGAGGUUUGAGACGCCGUGUGAGCUGGCUUGACUUGGGUGACCUGCACUGAUGGAGAGGCCGUUUUUCAACUAUUGGAUCUGGAGAUAGGGAUCUGGAGAUAGGAAGACCUGGCCUGACUUGCCGAGACCAGUGACGGAGACGCUUUUUCAACCACUUGAUCGAGAUGUUUGUUGGUGUGGUGCUGCUGCUGCCUGGAUGUCUGGAUCUUGUACCGCUUGUCACCUGCUUGAGUGAUGGCCCACGUCGCGCCAGCCUGGACGAUGUGCCCGUGUUGCCUGACGCCCGAUGAUGGCGACUUCUGCCAAGAAAGAAAGCCCUGAGGAUUUUCGUCACUGGCAUGACGUUCGUAACGGCGGCCGUCUUGCUUCAUGACCUAAUUAAUUAAUGUACACUAGUCAUAAGCAGCUGUGUUGUUGCUGAUGAUUAAGCGCCCAUUUGUAAAGAGUUUGAGGACUCCUCCCCAAUAAAAAUGACAUUAUUAUUA